rnacentral:rRNA from 1 species
AGUGAACGCUGGCGGUAGGCCUAACACAUGCAAGUCGAACGGCAGCACAGUAAGAGCUUGCUCUUACGGGUGGCGAGUGGCGGACGGGUGAGGAAUACAUCGGAAUCUACUUUUUCGUGGGGGAUAACGUAGGGAAACUUACGCUAAUACGGCAUACGACCUACGGGUGAAAGAAGGGGAUCUUCGGACCUUGCGCGAUUGAUUGAGCCGAUGUCGGAUUAGCUAGUUGGCGGGGUAAAGGCCCACCAAGGCGACGAUCCGUAGCUGGUCUGAGAGGAUGAUCAGCCACACUGGAACUGAGACACGGUCCAGACUCCUACGGGAGGCAGCAGUGGGGAAUAUUGGACAAUGGGCGCAAGCCUGAUCCAGCCAUACCGCGUGGGUGAAGAAGGCCUUCGGGUUGUAAAGCCCUUUUGUUGGGAAAGAAAAGCAGCAGGUUAAUACCCCGCUGUUCUGACGGUACCCAAAGAAUAAGCACCGGCUAACUUCGUG